GCUCGUAAUUUUUGUUUAUUCCACUAUUUAUUGGGUAAGAUAAAGUCAUAUACUUUAAGAUUGACUUGGGUUCCAUCUAAGUGGAGGAUUUCUAAAAGACUUUGAUUAGCUACCCAAUUGUCGAGCCAAAAGUAAAUGUCUUUGCCAUCACCUAUUUUUCAACGGAUACCCUUUUGCAGAAUCUCUAGUUGUGCAAGGAUCUUUCUCCAUAUGUUACUACGUGGUUAUAAAAGCUUUAUAUAAAGGUAAGAUAAGGGGAAGGCCCAAUGCUCCGCACUCUUUGGGCUACAAACUUUCUCCCAAGCUGUCAGUGGUGACUGUUUUUAUUUUUUUGUUGGAGCCAGAAAAGAAUUUGGUGUGAAGAAUCAAUCUUGGAAGCAACAUCAAUUGGCAAGAGAGAAUAGGAGCACAAGUAGGAGGGGAGAGCCUCUAAAUUGCUCUGAAUUAGAGUGUGGUGUCCAACUUUAGACAAUAAAAAAAAGGGAUUUCCCAAUGUUGAAUUCUUUAUUCAGUUUUGUGGAGCAUAAGAUUAUACUCUUCUUUCUUGGGAACGUAAGAGCUAAAAUGUACUCCUAGAUAGCGACCCAAACAUGAUUUGGACGUCGUGUUAAAAUGAUUGGCUAAACUCUAGUAAGGGUUUUAAUCUAUUGCAGGAACUAGAAGACUAUCAUCUUGCACAAAUCUAUAGUUGCUGUUUGUGAGCUUUCAUCUGGCGUUUUGAAAAGCUGAAUUGAUCGUUUGUUCUGCUGUCGUUCCUGUGAGGUGGCGUCUAUGGAGUCCGUUUUAUCGGUGCUGCCGUCUGGUGUUUCAAAAACCAAAGUGGCCGUUUUGCUUGUAUAAGAUCAGCCGCGGCAACAGCCAACAGCGAUGGAGGUUUAGAGAAUCAGGCGGAGUACGAUUGUACUUUGACCCACCAAAGGAGACAUGAUGGAUUGUUUGACGGAGGACGUUGAAUCUAAUUAAUCUUAGUAAUACCUUCACUAUUUGCUGCUGUUAUCAACUGGAUAUGCUAAGAAAAGCACAAAGUGAUACAUUAUUUACGAUAUCCUUGUUUGUGGGUCCUAGGCAGCUAGUUUUAAAAGGAAAUGCUACUUUGCAUGCUUCGUUCUUCAGAUCCCUUAUCCAGAAACUGGAUGACGCUGAAUUCAAAAACCCUUGGGCAUAAUCUUAUAUCCUGGUGAGUGACAUUCUCCUGGAUGAUUUCUAUGUUCUGAGGACAACUUUUGAUCUCUUGUUUUUUCUUACCUAUCAAUUUCUGCACCUUGCUAUUUUUUGUGUAAAUCCAAUUAUGUACUCUACUUUGUAUGUCGACUACAGCUUUCGUAAUCACUGAAGCUCCAAAUUACCUAUUAAAAUAGUAUGGCCGUUUUUCCUUUGUUUUUCUAUUCCUCUUUUAUCGGCAGUUCUUUCAUAAUUGUAGUAAACCUGUAUUUUGUUUUUGUCCUUCAUGCAUGCAUUUCCACCUGAUCAUAUAGGUAAAGCAAGCAUCAUUUCGAAGAACCUCUUCUUUUCAUACACAUGGAAGAGAACAAUAAUCAUACUUAAUCAACAAGUACAAUUUCAUUUCCUGAUAAGACUUGGGAUAAAGAGGCCUUCCUAGAAGUUUUGUUCACCUAAGGAUUUUUAAUGCAUAUUAUAUACUGGAAAAAAAGGGGGAGCCUUGGAAUCAAAUGUUUAAGAACUGGAGGCUUCUCUUAAAUCUUCCGUAGAUAAAUGUGCUGCUGAACGACAAAGGCCUCAGAAGAGUUCAACAAGUUAAUCUUACAUUUUAUUUUCAGAAUUUUUGACUAUAAAUUUCUUGUCUUUUAAUUAGGAAUGUAUUCAUGGAUUCGAGUGAUCUUCUAUUUUUUCAAUUGUGUAUGAGACUGAACCUGAAACCGAAAUCUAUGAAUUGACCUGAAGUAUAUUUUUAUGUGCAGUUACCCCAUUUGAUUGCU